AGUGAACGCUGGCGGUAGGCCUAACACAUGCAAGUCGAACGGCAGCACAGUAAGAGCUUGCUCUUACGGGUGGCGAGUGGCGGACGGGUGAGGAAUACAUCGGAAUCUACUUUUUCGUGGGGGAUAACGUAGGGAAACUUACGCUAAUACCGCAUACGACCUACGGGUGAAAGCAGGGGAUCUUCGGACCUUGCGCGAUUGAAUGAGCCGAUGUCGGAUUAGCUAGUUGGCGGGGUAAAGGCCCACCAAGGCGACGAUCCGUAGCUGGUCUGAGAGGAUGAUCAGCCACACUGGAACCGAGACACGGUCCAGACUCCUACGGGAGGCAGCAGUGGGGAAUAUUGGACAAUGGGCGCAAGCCUGAUCCAGCCAUACCGCGUGGGUGAAGAAGGCCUUCGGGUUGUAAAGCCCUUUUGUUAGGAAAGAAAAGCAGCAGGUUAAUACCCCGCUGUUCUGACGGUACCCAAAGAAUAAGCACCGGCUAACUUCGUG
rnacentral:rRNA from 1 species